rnacentral:misc_RNA from 1 species
UUUCCGUAGGUGAACCUGCGGAAGGAUCAUUAAUGAGUUGUCAUGGGGUUCGAUGCUGGCAGCCAAUUUUUGGAUGCAUGUGCUUGCCCUAACAAUCAUCUUCCAAACACCUGUGCACAUUUUUGAGGGAGUCUUGAGUUGGUUGCCGUUCUUGGGUGAUUUUCUCACAUUCCCUUAAAUCAUUAUACGCUAUUAACAAUGUUGAACGUGCUCUGUGCCGCAAGGCUAUUAAUAUAAUACAACUUUUAACAACGGAUCUCUUGGCUCUC